rfam:Mesocricetus auratus contig072324, whole genome shotgun sequence.
UGGCUCAGUGGUUAAGAGCACUGGCUGCUUUUCCAAAGGACCUGGGUUCAAAUCCCAG